ACGGGAGGCAGCAGUGGGGAAUAUUGCACAAUGGGGGAAACCCUGAUGCAGCGACGCCGCGUGAAGGAUGAAGUAUUUCGGUAUGUAAACUUCUAUCAGCAGGGAAGAUAAUGACGGUACCUGACUAAGAAGCCCCGGCUAACUACGUGCCAGCAGCCGCGGUAAUACGUAGGGGGCAAGCGUUAUCCGGAUUUACUGGGUGUAAAGGGAGCGUAGGCGGCGCAGUAAGUCAGAAGUGAAAGCCCGGGGCUCAACCUCGGGACGGCUUUUGAAACUGCUGUGCUUGAUUUCAGGAGAGGAAAGCGGAAUUCCUAGUGUAGCGGUGAAAUGCGUAGAUAUUAGGAGGAACACCAGUGGCGAAGGCGGCUUUCUGGACUGACAAUGACGCUGAGGCUCGAAAGCGUGGGGAGCAAACAGGAUUAGAUACCCUGGUA
rnacentral:rRNA from 1 species